CCUACGGGAGGCAGCAGUGAGGAAUUUUGGUCAAUGGGCGCGAGCCUGAACCAGCCAAGUAGCGUGAAGGAUGACUGCCCUACGGGUUGUAAACUUCUUUUAUAAAGGAAUAAAGUGAGGCACGUGUGCCUUUUUGUAUGUACUUUAUGAAUAAGGAUCGGCUAACUCAGUGCCAGCAGCCGCGGGAAUAUGGAGGAUCCGAGCGUUGUCCGGAUUGAUUGGGUUUAAAGGGAACGUAGAUGGGUUGUUAAGUCAGUUGUGAAAGUUUGCGGCUCAACCGUAAAAUUGCAAGUGAUACUGGCAGUCUAGAGUACAGUUGAGGUAGGCAGAAUUCGUGGUGUAGCGGUGAAAUGCUUAGAUAUCACGAAGAACUCCGAUAGCGAAGGCAGCUUACUAAACUGCCACUGACAUUGAUGCUCGAAAGUGUGGGUAUCAAACAGGAUUAGAUACCCUUGUAGUC
rnacentral:rRNA from 1 species